CAGAAAUCAGGACGGCCAGAUUUCCUGGUGAACCUGCCUCUGUCUGAGUCAGUGUCAAUCCACCAUCUUCUGCCAGUGAACUUGUCUUUGGGUUUUUGUUUGGUGUGUGUGUGGGGGGGGAUGUUGUUGUGUGUGUGUGUAUGUGUGUGUGUGCUUUUUUUGGAAGGGGGGAGGGGAAAGACAAAGUGGGGGCCGGAGGUGGGGGGAAGAGUAGGGAGAAUGUGUGUCUGUGAGUGUGUGUUGAGUGUGAGUGUGUCUCUGUGUGUGUAGGGGUCGAGGUGGGGGGGGUCCGUGUUUGCGAUCUGAACCUUUGGUACCUACAAGGAGGGUGUCUCACCGAACGGUAGCUAAAACCUCACCAGAACCGCGCGGAAGUGAGAAGUCGCGGCCAAAGGCGCCCGCAGAAGCCUCCUCUCUGGGCCGGACCCCAGCCCGAGCGGCCGAAAGGAGCCCCCCGCCCGGAUCACAGAAGUUUACAAGGAAAGGGGAAAUGUCUGAAAUGGAGAUUGCACAAUCCUGUCUUGAAGCAGAAGACUCAGCUAGAGCACAUCUGGAAACACCUGGCACUCCUCAAUAGAAUUCAAAUGCUAUUUUAAAAGAGUCCAUUUCUAAGAAGAUGUGGUUCGAACAUACAGAGCUACAUAAUAUGAGUAAAAUAGGACCUAACAGUAGUGUUCUCCAGCAUUGCUCUGCCUUUCCUUUUCUGGAUGUAACAACAUUACUAAGAAAGGAAGAAAAAGCAAAAAUCUGCUCUCGGGGAGAUUCCAGAAUGUUGGAAAGCCCCAAAUGGAAGUCUCUGCUUUGGUUACAGGACAUAAGGUUUAAUAAAUAAAAAGAUGCUCAUCUGGGAUGCUGCACCAAUUAUCAUGUACUAAAUAAGGUUACCUACUUCACUCUCCAGGUAGAAAUGUCUAUCAUAAGCAUGUGCCACAGAAGGUCUCUCAAGUAUCAUUAUUGGCUGUGUUGAAUUUUGUUUUUAGUUCUCUUUUAUAAGGUCUGUAGUCUUACUUUCAGUGAGGAAGUGUUUUCUCAGGUUCUCAAGAAAGUAACAAAAUGCCAGCAUUGUCAAGGUCACCAUUGCCACUGAAUUAUCUUACUGUCUGAUUAUUCCAUCUUCCUCUGCAUCAUAUUAGCCUGAUGACUACAUUCUAAUUAUUUAAAGCGUUAUGUAAAUCAAAGCAGUAAAUGUAAUUUCUAGUCUUACUAGAUAUCAUGUACAUUAGGUCGAAUAACUCUAGAAAUGUCGUCAUAAUCAUGUCAUGCCUAAUGAUGACCUACUCAGCCCCUGCCAACAUCAUUCAAUUACUCAUUUCAGUAUUGAUUUUUCUCAUGCCUCUCUUCGUGGCAUUUAAACAGCCCUCACAUCUCCCCUUUUACUGAGGUGUAAUGUUGUAUAAUGACAGAGAUGCUUUGCUUCCCAGAUUCAUAAUGUUACACUCUGUUUCAAAUCCUUUUGGAGACAAAUUGGGGAAUCAAUAUAUAAAUAAUGACACACUUAUUUUUAAUUAAAAUCACUGCUUUCACAGAAAUGGUAUAUUAAAAUUAUUUUUGCUAAAAAAAUUUUAAAUACCUAUGUACGAUAAAAAGACUGCCAAUCCUUGGGAUCAAGAAUAUAAUUUGCCCCAAAUAACUUUUCUGUAAAAGUAGAAUUCUUAAUGGAAAAUAGAUUAAUACAUAUAAUUUCAAGAUCUAACCUUAAAAAUGGAAAUAAUGUGUCCAUUUUUAAAAAUAAAUCAUAUUUACAUACACUGUGUUUAUGAGAGUUGUUUUGGAAUGAAACUUCUUUGCAUUUGAGAUCAAAUUCUUUUAUUCACAAGAAUUACAUUAUCUUUUUCAGCUGAAUGUUAUGUUAUACUCUUCCAAAAUCUAUUUUCCCUGCACUCAAGUAGCGGUAAAUAUUCUUUUUUUUUUCUGGAAAUUGAUAGUCUAAUUUUCUCCUGCCUCUCUUUGGCACACCCUCAUUUUGCAUGAGAUAUGCUCCUUAAUAAAAUUUCUACUCAAUAUUACAGAAACUUCCAGAAAUGGCAUCUAAAAUAUUACACUGGCCCGUUUAACUUCACCUUCACUAAUUGCAAUACAUUAUACAAAGAGCACUGUGGACAAAGGUGGAAUAUUUAACUAACUGGAUUUGGUUUCACAAACAGUAAUAAGACUUUUAAAAACAUUAUUAGAGCAUUUAUUUCAUCUCCUUUGCAAUAUAUUUUUCUUCCUUUUAAACUAGGCUUUCUAAAUUCUCAU
rnacentral:lncRNA from 10 species